GCCUUAGUACGGCGAGUGAAGCGGCAACAGCUCAAAUUUGAAAGCUGGCUCCUUUGGAGUCCGCGUUGUAAUUUGUAGAGGAUGAUUCGGCAAGGGCUCCCGCCUAAGUCUCCUGGAACGGAGCGUCAUAGAGGGUGAGAAUCCCGUAUGCGGUGGGCUGCCUAAGCCAUGUGAAUCUCCUUCGACGAGUCGAGUUGUUUGGGAAUGCAGCUCUAAAUGGGAGGUAAAUUUCUUCUAAAGCUAAAUACCGGCCAGAGACCGAUAGCGCACAAGUAGAGUGAUCGAAAGAUGAAAAGCACUUUGGAAAGAGAGUUAAAAAGUACGUGAAAUUGUUGAAAGGGAAGCGCUUGCAGCCAGACUUGUCCGCAGUUGCUCAGCCGGUCUCCUGACCGGUGUACUCUUCUGCGGCCAGGCCAGCAUCAGUUCGGGCGGUCGGAUAAAGACCUCGGGAAUGUAGCUCCUCUCGGGGAGUGUUAUAGCCCGGGGUGGAAUGCGGCCAGCCUGGACUGAGGAUCUCGCUUCGGCUAGGAUGCUGGCGUAAUGGCUGUAAGCGGCCCGUCUUGAAACACGGACCAAGGAGUCUAACAUCUAUGCGAGUGUUUGGGUGUCAAACCCAUGCGCGUAAUGAAAGUGAACGGAGGUGGGAACCCUCACGGGUGCACCAUCGACCGAUCCUGAUGUCUUCGGAUGGAUUUGAGUAAGAGCAUAGCUGUUGGGACCCGAAAGAUGGUGAACUAUGCCUGAAUAGGGUGAAGCCAGAGGAAACUCUGGUGGAGGCUCGCAGCGGUUCUGACGUGCAAAUCGAUCGUCAAAUUUGGGUAUAGGGGCGAAAGACUAAUCGAACCCAUCUAGUAGCUGG
rnacentral:rRNA from 1 species